rnacentral:rRNA from 1 species
UGUGGAAUAUUGCACAAUGGGGGAAACCCUGAUGCAGCGACGCCGCGUGAGCGAAGAAGGCUUUCGAGUCGUAAAGCUCUGUCCUAUGAGAAGAUAAUGACGGUAUCAUAGGAGGAAGCCCUGGCUAAAUACGUGCCAGCAGCCGCGGUAAUACGUAUGGGGCGAGCGUUGUCCGGAAUUAUUGGGCGUAAAGGGUACGUAGGCGGUUUUUUAAGUCAGGUGUCAAAGCGUGGAGCUUAACUCCAUUAAGCACUUGAAACUGAAAGACUUGAGUGAAGGAGAGGAAAGUGGAAUUCCUAGUGUAGCGGUGAAAUGCGUAGAUAUUAGGAGGAAUACCGGUGGCGAAGGCGACUUUCUGGACUUUUACUGACGCUCAGGUACGAAAGCGUGGGGAGCAAACAGG